rnacentral:misc_RNA from 1 species
GUAACUUUCUGGAAGUCCAUAAACUCUUGCAAAUUUUAACUCUGAGGGAGACAGGAAGUUACACGGGUCUACUGGGUAAAUUACACGAUCCGUGUAACAUCGUCAACAAGGUAACUUGGAGGACAGUAAGUUACACAGGUCCUUGAGCCAAUUUACAUGGCCCGUGCAUCUUAGCAUGAGUAACAAAAUUUUGGGCAGUAAGUUACAUGGGUCCCAG